ensembl:lncRNA
CAGAAACAUUUCAUAGUACUGUAUUAUGUCUAACUAUGUGAAAAAUAUCCUAUUGGAGUCCGUCGGGCAAUUGAUUAUAUGAGUUUGUUAGAAAAACCACUUUCCUUUGCUCCUAGCGCCUUCUCAAGCGUUGUAUACUAUUUGGAGCGUAAAAAAAAGCACCAGUGUGUCUGGACACACAGGAUGAAUGGGAACAAGUUUUGUUAUUGUACUUUUGAUGAAAAGUGACUUUCUACACUUCAAAUUGCACUUUAUUCACCUUAUCAUACAUUAUCAUCGUUUUACAUUUUAAUGUAAACAAUCAUAUUUCGUCUUAUUUUAGGUCAGAAACAUUUCAUAGUACUGUAUUAUGUCUAACUAUGUGAAAAAUAUCAUAUUGGAGUCCGUCGGGCAAUUGAUUAUAUGAGUUUGUUAGAUAAACCACUUUCCUUUGCUCCUAGCGCCUUCUCAAGCGCUGUAUACCGUUUUGAGAGUAUAAAGAGCACCAGUGUGUAUGGACACACAGGAUGAAUGAGAACAAGUUUUAUUAUGGUACUUUUGAUGUAAAGUGACUUUCUAUACUUCAAAUGACACUUUUUUCACCUUAUCCUACGUUAUCAUCAAGUUUUACAAUUUCAUGUAAACAAUCAUAUUUCGUCUUAUUUUAGGUCAGAAACAUUUCAUAGUACUGUAUUAUGUCUAACUAUGUGAAAAAUAUCCUAUUGGAGUCCGUCGGGCAAUUGAUUAUAUGAGUUUGUUAGAUAAACCACUUUCCUAUGCUCCUAGCGCCUUCUCAAGCGCUGUAUAGCGUUUUGAGCGUAUAAAGAGCACCGGUGUGUAUGGACACACAGGAUGAAUGAGAACAAGUUUUGUUAUGGUACUUUUGAUGAAAAGUGACUUUCUACACUUCAAAUGACACGUUUUUCACCUUAUCAUACUUUAUCAUCAAUUUUUACAUUUUAAUGUAAACAAUUAUAUUUCGUAUUAUUUUAGCUCAGAAACAUUUCAUAGUACUAUAUUAUGUGUAAAUAUGUGAAAAAUAUCAUAUUAGAGUAGGUCGGGCAAUUGAUUACAUGAGUUUGUUAGAAAAACCACUUUCCUUUGCUCCUAGCGCCUUCUCAAUCGCUGUAUAGCGUUUUGAGCGUAUAAAGAGCACCAGUGUGUCUGGACACACAGGAUGAAUGGGAACUAGUUUUGUUAUUGUACUUUUGAUGAAAAGUGACUUUCUAGACAUAAAAUGUCACUUUUUUCACCUUAGGACACUUUUUCAUCAACUUUUACAUUUUAAUGUAAACAAUCAUAUUUCGUAAUAUUUUAG